rnacentral:rRNA from 1 species
UACGAAGGGGGCUAGCGUUGUUCGGAAUCACUGGGCGUAAAGCGCUCGUAGGCGGAUCUUUAAGUCAGGGGUGAAAUCCCGGGGCUCAACCUCGGAACUGCCUUUGAUACUGGAGAUCUCGAGUCCGGGAGAGGUGAGUGGAACUGCGAGUGUAGAGGUGAAAUUCGUAGAUAUUCGCAAGAACACCAGUGGCGAAGGCGGCUCACUGGCCCGGAACUGACGCUGAGGAGCGAAAGCGUGGGGAGCAAACAGG